AGAGUUUGAUCCUGGCUCAGGAUGAACGCUGGCGGCGUGCCUAACACAUGCAAGUCGAACGGAUCCAUACUGAAACCUAGUGAUGUAUGGAUUAGUGGCGGACGGGUGAGUAACGCGUGGAUAACCUGCCGUAUACAGGGGGAUAACACUUAGAAAUAGGUGCUAAUACCGCAUAAGCGCACGGUUCCGCAUGGAACAGUGUGAAAAACUCCGGUGGUAUACGAUGGAUCCGCGUCUGAUUAGCCAGUUGGCGGGGUAACGGCCCACCAAAGCGACGAUCAGUAGCCGGCCUGAGAGGGUGAACGGCCACAUUGGGACUGAGACACGGCCCAAACUCCUACGGGAGGCAGCAGUGGGGAAUAUUGCACAAUGGGGGAAACCCUGAUGCAGCGACGCCGCGUGAGUGAAGAAGUAUUUCGGUACGUAAAGCUCUAUCAGCAGGGAAGAAAAAAAGUCCUUUGGACUUUGGACGGUACCUGACCAAGAAGCCCCGGCUAACUACGUGCCAGCAGCCGCGGUAAUACGUAGGGGGCAAGCGUUAUCCGGAUUUACUGGGUGUAAAGGGAGCGUAGACGGCAGCGCAAGUCUGGAGUGAAAUGCCGGGGCUCAACCCCGGAACUGCUUUGGAAACUGUGCGGCUCGAGUGCAGGAGAGGUAAGCGGAAUUCCUAGUGUAGCGGUGAAAUGCGUAGAUAUUAGGAGGAACACCAGUGGCGAAGGCGGCUUACUGGACUGUAACUGACGUUGAGGCUCGAAAGCGUGGGGAGCAAACAGGAUUAGAUACCCUGGUAGUCCACGCCGUAAAC
rnacentral:rRNA from 1 species